rnacentral:rRNA from 1 species
ACGCUAGCUACAGGCUUAACACAUGCAAGUCGAGGGGAAACGGCAUUGAGUGCUUGCACUCUUUGGACGUCGACCGGCGCACGGGUGAGUAACGCGUAUCCAACCUUCCCAUUACUGUGGGAUAACCAGCCGAAAGGCAGACUAAUACCGCAUAGUCUUCGAUGACGGCAUCAGAUUUGAAGUAAAGAUUUAUCGGUAAUGGAUGGGGAUGCGUCUGAUUAGCUUGUUGGCGGGGUAACGGCCCACCAAGGCGACGAUCAGUAGGGGUUCUGAGAGGAAGGUCCCCCACAUUGGAACUGAGACACGGUCCAAACUCCUACGGGAGGCAGCAGUGAGGAAUAUUGGUCAAUGGACGGAAGUCUGAACCAGCCAAGUAGCGUGCAGGAUGACGGCCCUAUGGGUUGUAAACUGCUUUUGUAUGGGGAUAAAGUUAGGGACGUGUCCCUAUUUGCAGGUACCAUACGAAUAAGGACCGGCUAAUUCCGUGCCAGCAGCCGCGGUAAUACGGAAGGUCCAGGCGUUAUCCGGAUUUAUUGGGUUUAAAGGGAGCGUAGGCUGGAGAUUAAGUGCGUUGUGAAAUGUAGACGCUCAACGUCUGAAUUGCAGCGCAUACUGGUUUCCUUGAGUACGCACAACGUUGGCGGAAUUCGUCGUGUAGCGGUGAAAUGCUUAGAUAUGACGAAGAACUCCGAUUGCGAAGGCAGCUGACGGGAGCGCAACUGACGCUUAAGCUCGAAGGUGCGGGUAUCAAACAGGAUUAGAUACCCUGGUAGUCCGCACAGUAAACGAUGGAUGCCCGCUGUUGGUACCUGGUAUCAGCGGCUAAGCGAAAGCAUUAAGCAUCCCACCUGGGGAGUACGCCGGCAACGGUGAAACUCAAAGGAAUUGACGGGGGCCCGCACAAGCGGAGGAACAUGUG